UUCAGGGGAUCAAAUGUUGUUUCUACUCUGGGAAUAUAAGCUUCAGAUGUGUAAUGUGUAAAAUUACUGGGAGCUGUGACAAAGCCGUACAAGGGUGAAAUAUACUGCUGCUGAAUUUUAUAUGUGCAUUUUAUAUCUGCUUUUCUGCAUUCUUUCAUAUGCUUUAGGAGCAAGAGAAUUCCUCAACCAGGCCAGUGCCCUGCUGGAAAGCAAGGGUAUCUCCAGGAUGUCAGCCUCAAAUUUGUCUCUGGGGCAGGAUAUUAUUAUGUGCUCCAUGGUUUGAUCAGGGUUUCCACAGUUGCAGCCAGGAUCAUGAACUGUUAUUGGCUAGGCACAGACAGUCAAAAAGCCUGAGACUGAAUUGAUUCAGUCUUUGCAGGUUGGCCGAUCUCCUCUGGCGGGCUUUCAACUAGGCUCGUCAGGGGAGGGGGAAGAUGAGGAUGGAAGGAGCCAUGGAACACCGAACCAAGAGCCACCCACAAGAACAGCCCAGCCAAGACAGGCAACGAGCACAAGAAAUACCCAGGUAAGAGACAGGGGCCCAGAUAGUCCUGGGAUUAGGGGGGCAGUGCAUACACCUCCA